rnacentral:tRNA from 1 species
GACAGUGUAGCUCAGCUGGCAGAGCAUUGGGCUAGUAUUCCAAAGGUCGUAGGUUCGAUUCCCACCGUGGCCA